rnacentral:lncRNA from 1 species
AAUUUAUCAAAGUAGUAAUUCAUAUGUUUAACAAUUAAAAUAAAAUUGUUUAAGUAGUUUUUAUUUAUUAAAGAGUUUAAAACAAUUGAUUUUAUUCAUUGAAUUAAAUGCUUUCAUUAAAAACCUAUUGGCAUUUAUGGGGUUAAAGGGAUUUUAUUUUACAUUUGGUAUUGGUCAAACUAAAAAAUGGGUGACACCAAUUUACUCCAUACAGGGGAGGGUGUUAAUAGCAGCGCACGCUGCAGCCUGCUCACUUGGAGCGGAGCAACAGCAGAGGCAACACACAGAGGGUGAGCUCGUUAGCUGCUACUAGCUUGUUAGCCGUUAUUACUUUGUUUGAGCUACUUUUUUUUGAUUGAUUAGACUUUUGUCUACCAUUUGCUGAAGUGCCCAGCCUGAAGAAGACACGGAAGUGUCGAAACGUCGCACAGGGGCACUUUUUUUUCGUUGAUUAACAGGGAGCGUUUUUUUAUUUUUUUAUUUUUUUAUUUUUUUAUUCUUGUAUUUUAUUAAGGGGUUAAGCUUCCUUUUAUUUAUUAAAACCUUAUUUGGUAAGGUCUCUUUGAUUAUUAAAGAGAUAGAAACAUUGAAAAAUAAAAGAUACAAAAAAACUUUUUUUCACUUUUUUUAUUAUUGUUAUGUUUUCCACUGCCAACGAGGGGGAAUGGCAGCAGGUCCGUUACGGCAGACGGGGUCGCUUCCGUGACCAGACCCUUCACCAGCGACCCCAACCGCAAAACCGGGACUGCUCUUCUGGGGACCGGGGAGGAAGAGGGACCAGGGGGAAGGACCGUGCAUUUCCUGGGCCUCCAUGGGGAGGACCAGGCCAUUACCCUCGUCCUAACCCCUAACCCCCU